GAUGAACGCUGGCGGCGUGCCUAAUACAUGCAAGUCGAGCGAACGGACGAGAAGCUUGCUUUUCUGAUGUUAGCGGCGGACGGGUUAGUAACACGUUGAUAACCUACCUAUACGACUGGGAUAACGUCGGGAAACCGGUGCUAAUACCGGAUACUACUUUGAACCGCAUGGUCCAAAAGUGAAAGACGGUCUUGCUGUGACUAACCGACGUCUCCUUGCGGCAUUAGCUAGUUGGCAAGGUAACGGCGUACCAAGGCAACGAUGCAUAGACGACCUGAGCGUGUGAUCGGACACACAGGAACUGAGAAACGGUCACACGUCCUACGGGCGGCAGCGGGGGAGAAGUAUGCACAAUGGGCGAAAGGCAGAAGGAGUAACGCCGCGAGGGUGAUGGAGGGCUUAGGAGCGUAAGACUGUAAUAUUAGGGAGGAAGAGAUGUGUAACUAACUCUGCACGACAUGACGGUACCUAAACAGAAAGCCCCGGCUAACUACGUG
rnacentral:rRNA from 1 species